rnacentral:rRNA from 1 species
UACAGAGGGUGCGAGCGUUGUUCGGAAUUACUGGGCGUAAAGCGCGCGCAGGCGGCCUUUUAAGUCUGACGGUGAAAUGCCGGGGCUCAACCCCGUGCCCGCCGGAGAUACUGGGAGGCUGGAGACGAGUAGAGGCAAGCGGAAUUCCAGGUGUAGCGGUGGAAUGCGUAGAGAUCCGGAAGAACACCGGAGGCGAAGGCGGCUUGCUGGGCUCGGUCUGACGCUGAGGCGCGAAAGCGUGGGGAGCGAACAGG